CCUACGGGAGGCAGCAGUGAGGAAUAUUGGUCAAUGGACGCAAGUCUGAACCAGCCAUGCCGCGUGCAGGAAGACGGCUCUAUGAGUUGUAAACUGCUUUUGUCCGAGGGUAAACGCAGAUACGCGUAUCUGUCUGAAAGUAUCGUACGAAUAAGGAUUGGCGAACUCCGUCCCAGCAGCCGCGGUAAUACGGAGGAUUCAAGCGUUAUCCGGAGUUAUUGGGUUUAAAGGGUGCGUAGGAGGUCGGAUAAGUUAGAGGGGAAAUCCCGAGGCGCAACUUCGGCAUUGCCUCUGAUACUGUUCGGCUAGAGAGUAGUUGCGGUAGGCGGAAUGUAUGGUGUAGCGGUGAAA
rnacentral:rRNA from 1 species